UAGGGAAUCUUGCGCAAUGGGCGAAAUCCUGACGCAGCCAUGCCGCGUGAAUGAUGAAGGUCUUAGGAUUGUAAAAUUCUUUCACCGGGGACGAUAAUGACGGUACCCGGAGAAGAAGCCCCGGCUAACUUCGUGCCAGCAGCCGCGGUAAUACGAAGGGGGCUAGCGUUGCUCGGAAUUACUGGGCGUAAAGGGAGCGUAGGCGGAUAGUUUAGUCAGAGGUGAAAGCCCAGGGCUCAACCUUGGAAUUUCCUUUGAUACUGGCUAUCUUGAGUAUGGAAGAGGUAUGUGGAACUCCGAGUGUAGAGGUGAAAUUCGUAGAUAUUCGGAAGAACACCAGUGGCGAAGGCGACAUACUGGUCCAUUACUGACGCUGAGGCUCGAAAGCGUGGGGAGCAAACA
rnacentral:rRNA from 1 species